GAGUACUGUUAUAAAAAAUAUCAAGAAAACAUCAUUCCUUUGUUUAAAACAUGGAUAAUAUUGGAAAACCCAUUGUUAUCCAUGCACUCAGCUCAUGAAAUAUUAAGCCAGAAGAAAAGUUUACAAAUGUAAUUUAAGAAUGAACCAAGCUUUUAUUUCGGUAGGAAGAUCAGAACCUUAUUUUAUUUUCUGUAAACAAAAUGGACCACCUUAAUAUAAAUAAAUAGACAACAACUUCAAUUUCAGUGUCGUGAGAAUUUGUAUGUGUUUUUGUAAAUGUUGUACUUUUUUAAAUCAUUCUCAUAUAAACGAACAUCGUGUGAAUGAAUACAUGUUAAAACAAACGAAAAAUAAAACUGUCAGUUGUAUCUGUUUGGCAUCAUUGCAUCAGCGAAAGUACCAGCUGUUGAAGAAGAAAACAAAAUCAUACAUACAGUACAUAGCUUUAAAUUGGCUUAAAACGAGGGGAUAAAACUAACUAAUAUACAAUUUCAAAUUUAUUAAUGCGAAAAGCACAGAAUUAGCAACACUUUAUAUUUGUCGAUUACAAAACAAUUUUUAACGAUAAAGUCAUGUCAUUACAUAUUUAUAUACAUACAUACGCAUAUUUAACGUAAGAAAUCUUAAACGAUUUAAAAACCACAAAAAAAAAUCGAUGAAACGAAAACAACAGACACAAAGUCAAAAUAAAGAUCCAUUACCAAGUAAAUACAAACUGUUAAAAAUAAUGCAUUGCAAAGAGAAUAAGCUGCCAAGAUUCAGUAAGUUAAAUAAAAUACAAAACAGAGUAAUGACCCUUUUUGAAAGUUUUUAUUAAAAACCAAACAGAAAGGGCUCGUGCCCGAAUUAUUUAUAAAUUAUUUGAGCUUUUUACAUUGAACUUGUACAAAAAAUAUGUAUUUGAAAUGUUUAUGAAGAGCACUUACCUAAUUAAUAAAUAAUAAGAUUAAAAAUUAAAAAGCCCCAAUACAUAUACUCUUACACACACAUAAUCAGAUGGGUGAGGGUUUGGUCUAUAGGAAUGUUAUAGAUAUAAAAUAAAAACCCUUAAAUGAUGAAAAGAAAAUAAAUAAAAUACUGACUGAACAUCCAACUGUUUGUCUUUCCAUUCAUUUGUUUGUUUAUUUGUGGUUAUGUCUGUAUGUUGGUUAUUUUUGUUGUUGUUAAGAUCUUUGAUGUGGAAAGCUUAGGCCAGCAACAGUUGAGAAAUCAAACAUAAAGCUUAAAACCACCAGCAGGAGCAGCAGCAGCAAUUCUAGAACCAAAACAAAUGAUACAAACACUGGUGGUUUUAAUUAAAAUUGUAAAAUAGAGUUGCCAUAUAUACACAUUAGGGUGACAAAUAAUCAAUUUAUUGCAAGAUUUUCAAGUCUUGUUGAGAUAUAGAUUUUGUUUAUAAUACUUUACCAAAUCUGGCAAGCCUAUAAAACCAAACAUAACUACAAAGAUCAUGAAUGAUUGUUAUGAAGAGAGAAAAUAAUAAUAAUAAUAAAAAAACAAUAAAAAAAUAAAAAUCUAUAGUUCUUUCAACAGUACAACAUGGCCUGUUAGUUGUGUUACAAAAUGCACGAAACUUCACGCCUGGCCAACGCCACCAAACAAAAGAAUCCAACAGAAAACAGAUACAAAAACAACAAAUAAAAUGCGACAUAUUCAACAUUUCGUUUAAUCCAAAUAAAACUUAUUCACAAAUACAUACAUCAAUAAUUAUUAAGUGAUUUUUAUGUGUAGUUUCGUUUGGGAAUCGCUGAAUAAUUCGCUAAUUCGUUUAGUGAUAAGUGAUGAAGUAUGGCUACAUCUAAACACGAUUAUGUCAAUAGCUGAUCUCUGAAGAUCAUAUUAGGUUAUAUUCUUCUGAUGCCAGACUCAUUAAGUAAUGGAAUUUUAAAAUGUUUUUGAUUUCAUUUCAUUUUAAUAAAAAAUUAUUUUUAAUGGUUUUUCACAAUUCAUAUUUACGAUUGUAUACACACACUCUUAUACCUAUAAAAUCAUACAUACAUAUGUCCCCAGUAUACACGUCUACUGUAUAGAGAACCCGAUAACCUUUAGGCAUGAUCAUGUUAAACGUUGAUAAUAAGUGUUUAUAAAAUUAUUUAUUAUUAUUCGUAUUCCUAGUAUUUGUCUCUAUCUGUCCAUCUGAAUAUGUGUACAUUCUUAUAUAUACAUACAUACUUCACAUAACAAGUUCAUAUAAAUGUGUUCAGUAAUAAAAUUCAAUAUGUGUUUCAGUUAAAAAAA